rnacentral:rRNA from 1 species
GCAGUCGAGCGAUGCGAUGCUUCUUCGGAAGCGUCAUUAGCGGCGGACGGGUGAGUAACACGUGAGUAACCUGCCUCAAAGAGGGGAAUAGCCUCCCGAAAGGGAGAUUAAUACCGCAUAAUAUGUUUUGGUCGCAUGAUCAAAAUAUCAAAGGAUUUUUCUUCGGAAAUUUCCACUUUGAGAUGGACCCGCGGCGCAUUAGCUAGUUGGUGAGGUAACGGCUCACCAAGGCGACGAUGCGUAGCCGACCUGAGAGGGUGAUCGGCCACAUUGGAACUGAGACACGGUCCAGACUCCUACGGGAGGCAGCAGUGGGGAAUAUUGCGCAAUGGGGGAAACCCUGACGCAGCAACGCCGCGUGAAUGAUGAAGGCCUUCGGGUUGUAAAGUUCUGUCUUCUGGGACGAUAAUGACGGUACCAGAGGAGGAAGCCACGGCUAACUACGUGCCAGCAGCCGCGGUAAUACGUAGGUGGCAAGCGUUGUCCGGAUUUACUGGGCGUAAAGGAUGCGUAGGCGGACAUUUAAGUCAGAUGUGAAAUACCCGAGCUUAACUUGGGUGCUGCAUUUGAAACUGGGUGUCUAGAGUGCAGGAGAGGUAAGUGGAAUUCCUAGUGUAGCGGUGAAAUGCGUAGAGAUUAGGAAGAACACCAGUGGCGAAGGCGACUUACUGGACUGUAACUGACGCUGAGGCAUGAAAGCGUGGGGAGCAAACAGGAUUAGAUACCCUGGUAGAAUCACUAGUGAAUUC